GAUGAACGCUGGCGGCGUGCCUAAUACAUGCAAGUCGAGCGAACGUCAUAGAAGCUUGCUUCUGUGACGUUAGCGGCGGACGGGUGAGUAACACGUGGGCAACCUGCCUGUAAGACUGGGAUAACUUCGGGAAACCGAAGCUAAUACCGGAUAGGAUCUUCUCCUUCAUGGGAGAUGAUUGAAAGAUGGUUUCGGCUAUCACUUACAGAUGGGCCCGCGGUGCAUUAGCUAGUUGGUGAGGUAACGGCUCACCAAGGCAACGAUGCAUAGCCGACCUGGGAGGGUGAUCGGCCACACUGGGACUGAGACACGGCCCAGACUCCUACGGGAGGCAGCAGUAGGGAAUCUUCCGCAAUGGACGAAAGUCUGACGGAGCAACGCCGCGUGAGUGAUGAAGGCUUUCGGGUCGUAAAACUCUGUUGUUAGGGAAGAACAAGUACGAGAGUAACUGCUCGUACCUUGACGGUACCUAACCAGAAAGCCACGGCUAACUACGUGCCAGCCGCCGCCGUAA
rnacentral:rRNA from 1 species